rnacentral:tRNA from 1 species
UCUGUAGCUCAGUCGGUAGAGCAACGCAUUCGUAAUGCGUGGGUCGUGGGUUCAAAUCCCAUUGG